GACGAACGCUGGCGGCGUGCUUAACACAUGCAAGUCGAACGGAAAGGCCCUGCUUUUGUGGGGUGCUCGAGUGGCGAACGGGUGAGAAACACGUGAGUAACCUGCCCUUGACUUUGGGAUAACUUCAGGAAACUGGGGCUAAUACCGGAUAGGAGCUCCUGCUGCAUGGUGGGGGUUGGAAAGUUUCGGCGGUUGGGGUUGGACUCGCGGCUUAUCAGCUUGUUGGUGGGGUAGUGGCUUACCAAGGCUUUGACGGGUAGCCGGCCUGAGAGGGUGACCGGCAACAUUGGGACUGAGAUACGGCCCAGACUCCUACGGGAGGCAGCAGUGGGGAAUAUUGCACAAUGGGCGGAAGCCUGAUGCAGCAACGCCGCGUGCGGGAUGACGGCCUUCGGGUUGUAAACCGCUUUCGCCUGUGACGAAGCGUGAGUGACAGUAAUGGGUAAAGAAGCACCGGCUAACUACGUG
rnacentral:rRNA from 1 species